rnacentral:tmRNA from 1 species
GGGGGCGAAAUGGUUUCGACCGGGCAGGUGAAGUGUUUGGUUGCGUGUCGAGGUUGAUCGGUUGGCCUCGUAAAAAGCCGGUCACACAACAACUGCUGAAACGCAGUUCACUCUCGCGGCUUAAUAACCCGUGAGCCGUUCAGUGCCCUUCGCGGGAGAGGUCAUUGUUCGGACGCCAAUUCCCGAUCGCGGACGCUCGAGGGUCUGGGCAACCAGAUUCGUUUCGGGGGCGGCGUCUGCUAAAAAACCUGACCGAUAGCGAGCUUCGCACCCUGCAAGUUGGGGACGCGGCGAGCGAACGUGAAGCCGCCGCAAGGUGGGCUUCGAGCGUGAACUUGCUACACACGUAGACGCCGGCACGGAAGUGCCUCGGGACCCGGGUUCGAUUCCCGGCGCCUCCAC